AUGGACUACGUCUUCCCUUCCGUAGGCGCCCUCCCCGCACCCAACUACAGGCACCAGCCCCUUCUAGGCCGGGAGAACCUUCGCUUCAGCCUCCCGGGCAACUCCAACCGCUACCUCCCCCUGCGCAGCAAGGAGGCGGCCGAGGACGGAGCACGUGCACGUCGCAGACGCCGCGACCACCAUGCCUCCUCCGACUCGACCUCGGCGACCGAUGCCGCCCACGCCUCGACCUCCGCGACCGACGCCUCUGCCGCCAGGCGACGCAGGCACCGACGGCCCCGGCCCCGACCCCGACGACCCGAACGUGAGGAGCGCCCCGUGGAGGUCGCUGAUCGAGCGUGGGGGGGAAGACGUCUCCUCGCCUUCGCCUUCCUCGUGGUCACCGGCGCCGUGUCCGCCGUCCUUCUUCUCGGUGGGCAUGAGCUCUCCAUCUGGACCUACACCGCCGCGCAGACAUCCUGCACCUGCUCCCCCGCCGCCGCCAAGAACUAG
rnacentral:rRNA from 1 species